rnacentral:rRNA from 1 species
GAUGAACGCUGGCGGCGUGCCUAAUACAUGCAAGUCGAGCGAACAGACGAGGAGCUUGCUCCUCUGACGUUAGCGGCGGACGGGUGAGUAACACGUGGAUAACCUACCUAUAAGACUGGGAUAACUUCGGGAAACCGGAGCUAAUACCGGAUAAUAUAUUGAACCGCAUGGUUCAAUAGUGAAAGACGGUUUUGCUGUCACUUAUAGAUGGAUCCGCGCCGCAUUAGCUAGUUGGUAAGGUAACGGCUUACCAAGGCAACGAUGCGUAGCCGACCUGAGAGGGUGAUCGGCCACACUGGAACUGAGACACGGUCCAGACUCCUACGGGAGGCAGCAGUAGGGAAUCUUACGCAAUGGGCGAAAGCCUGACGGAGCAACGCCGCGUGAGAGAUGAAGGUCUUCCGAUCGUAAAACUCUGUUAUUAGGGAAGAACAAAUGUGUAAGUAACUAUGCACGUCUUGACGGUACCUAAUCAGAAAGCCACGGCUAACUACGUG